UACGUAGGAUGCAAGCGUUGUCCGGAUUUAUUGGCGUAAAGAGCGUGUAGGCGGCCAGACAGGUCCGUUGUGAAAAACUCGAGGCUCAACCUCGAGACGUCGAUGGAAACCGUUUGGCUAAGACGAUCGGAAGAGGAGAGUGGAAUUCCUGGUGUAGCGGUGAAAUGCGCAGAUAUCAGGAAGAACACCCGUGGCGAAAGGCGGCUCUCUGGGACGGUAC
rnacentral:rRNA from 1 species